rnacentral:rRNA from 1 species
AGCGAACGCUGGCGGCAGGCCUAACACAUGCAAGUCGAACGAAGUCUUCGGACUUAGUGGCGGACGGGUGAGUAACACGUGGGAACGUGCCUUUAGGUUCGGAAUAACUCAGGGAUACUUGUGCUAAUACCGAAUGUGCCCUUCGGGGGAAAGAUUUAUCGCCUUUAGAGCGGCCCGCGUCUGAUUAGCUAGUUGGUGAGGUAAAGGCUCACCAAGGCUACGAUCAGUAGCUGGUCUGAGAGGAUGACCAGCCACAUUGGGACUGAAACACGGCCCAUACUCCUACGGGAGGCAGCAGUGGGGAAUCUUGCGCAAUGGGCGAAAGCCUGACGCAGCCAUGCCGCGUGGAUGAUGAAGGUCUUAGGAUUGUAAAAUCCUUUCACCGGUGAAGAUAAUGACUGUAGCCGGAGAAGGAGCCCCGGCUAACUUCGUGCCAGCAGCCGCAGUAAGAC